GAUGAAGAACGUAGCGAAAUGCGACAAGUAAUGUGAAUUGCAGAAUUCAGUGAAUCAUCGAGUCUUUGAACGCACAUUGCGCCCCCUGGUAUUCCGGGGGGCAUGCCUGUCCGAGCGUCAUUGCUGCCCUCAAGCACGGCUUGUGUGUUGGGCCUCCGUCCUCCUCCCGGGGGACGGGCCCGAAAGGCAGCGGCGGCACCGCGUCCGGUCCUCGAGCGUAUGGGGCUUCGUCACCCGCUCUUGUAGGCCCGGCCGGCGCUUGCCGACACAUCAAUCUUUUUUCCAGGUUGACCUCGGAUCAGGUAGGGAUACCCGCUGAACUUAAGCAUAUCAAUAAGCGGAGGA
rnacentral:misc_RNA from 1 species